GAUGAACGCUAGCGGCAGGCCUAAUACAUGCAAGUCGAGGGAGAAGUUUGGUGCUUGCACUAAACGGAAACCGGCGAACGGGUGCGUAACACGUAUACAACCUACCUUAUACUGGGGUAUAGCUCGGAGAAAUUCGAAUUAAUCCCCCAUAGCAAUGCAGUAUCGCAUGGUACAGCAUUUAAAGCUCCGGCGGUAUAAGAUGGGUAUGCGUCCCAUUAGUUAGUUGGUGAGGUAACGGCUCACCAAGGCGACGAUGGGUAGGGGGUCUGAGAGGAUGAUCCCCCACACUGGUACUGAGAUACGGACCAG
rnacentral:rRNA from 1 species